rnacentral:rRNA from 1 species
CUUUUUUCUUGUCAACAACGAGCGCAACCCUGAUCUAGCCAUGCCGCGUGAGUGAUGAAGGCCUUAGGGUUGUAAAGCUCUUUCAGCUGUGAAGAUAAUGACGGUAUCCGGAGAAGAAGCCCCGGCUAACUUCGUGCCAGCAGCCGCGGUAAUACGAAGGGGGCUAGCGUUGUUCGGAAUUACUGGGCGUAAAGCGCACGUAGGCGGACAUUUAAGUCAGGGGUGAAAUCCCGGGGCUCAACCCCGGAACUGCCUUUGAUACUGGGUGUCUUGAGUGUGGAAGAGGUCAGUGGAAUUGCGAGUGUAGAGGUGAAAUUCGUAGAUAUUCGCAGGAACACCAGUGGCGAAGGCGGCUGACUGGUCCAUUACUGACGCUGAGGUGCGA